rnacentral:sRNA from 1 species
GCUGAGCACAGUGGCACAUGCUUGUAUUCCCAGAACUUGGGAGGCUGAGGCAGGAAGAGCUCUUGGGCCCAGGAGUUUGAGGUCAGCUUGGACAACAAGGCGAGACCCUGUCUCAG